UACAGAGGUCCCAAGCGUUGUCCGGAUUUAUUGGGCGUAAAGAGCGUGUAGGCGGCCCGAUUAGUCCGCUGUGAAAGUCCAGGGCUCAACCCUGGAAUGCCGGUGGAUACUGUCGGGCUAGAGUCCGGAAGGGGCGAGUGGAAUUCCUGGUGUAGCGGUGAAAUGCGCAGAUAUCAGGAGGAACACCAAUGGCGAAGGCAGCUCGCUGGGACGUGACUGACGCUGAGACGCGAAAGCGUGGGGAGCAAACAGG
rnacentral:rRNA from 1 species